UACAGAGGUCCCGAGCGUUGCUCGGAUUCAUUGGGCGUAAAGGGUGCGUAGGCGGCGGGGCAAGUCUGAUGUGAAACCCCGGGGCUCAACCCCGGAACUGCAUCCGAUACUGCGUGGCUAGAGGUAGGUAGGGGAGAUCGGAAUUCCUGGUGUAGCGGUGAAAUGCGCAGAUAUCAGGAGGAACACCGGUGGCGAAGGCGGAUCUCUGGGCCUUACCUGACGCUCAGGCACGAAAGCUAGGGGAGCGAACAGG
rnacentral:rRNA from 1 species